rnacentral:lncRNA from 10 species
GGGAGCCAAGAUGGCGGCGGCGGCGGCAGCGACAGCAGCAGCAGCAGCCAGUAUUCGGGAAAGGCAGACAGGAUCUUCGAAAUCAACUAUAUGAAUCAUAUUAUUUAAAUUUUAUUUCUGCUAUUUCAAGAAGUAAACUGGAAGAUAUUGCAAAUGCAGCGUUAGCAGCUAGUGCAGUAACACAAGUAGCCAAGGUUUUUGACCAAUAUCUCAAUUUUAUUACUUUGGAAGAUGAUAUGUUUGUAUUAUGUAAUCAAAAUAAGGAGCUUGUUUCAUAUCGUGCCAUUAACAGGCCAGAUAUCACAGACACGGAAAUGGAAACUGUUAUGGACACUAUAGUUGACAGCCUCUUCUGCUUUUUUGUUACUCUGGGUGCUGUUCCUAUAAUCAGAUGUUCAAGAGGAACAGCAGCAGAAAUGGUAGCAGUGAAACUAGACAAGAAACUUCGAGAAAAUCUAAGAGAUGCAAGAAACAGUCUUUUUACAGGUGA